AAGGUCAAUUAAUUAAUUAAGAUUGAUCCUGUCUUUAAUUUAUUUUGAUUAGUUAUUUGGUAAUAUUAAAUAUAAAUUUUCGUGUGAUUUUAGUUUAUCUAAAGGAUAAAUUGUUG
rnacentral:rRNA from 1 species